CAAGUAUUUGCACCCACUAAUUGCUGCAGGAGAUGUCGUGGAUGUCUAUGUUCAGUGUAUCAAGUAUAGGGUUGACUUUUUUAAUUAAAAAUAGGAUUUUAUCCAAAAAUUUUCAUAAAGACACCUGGGGCCGGUUGUUCAAAGGUGGGUUAGUGCUAACCCUGGGUUAAAAUUUAACCUGCUGUUUUAGUUUGUGUACUUCUAGUCUUCUACACAUAGAUCUGUGUAUUUCAAAACUUCAGAGAAGUAUACUCCUAUUGAUCCAGACAAGAUCUCUGAAGAAAUAUUUCCAAAUUUAUAGAAAAGCUGUCAGGAAGUUUGCUUCGAAUUUUAGGUUAACCAUGGGUUAAACUAACCCAGCUUUGAACAACCGGCCCCUGGUGAGUGGAGACUCGAGUGGUAGGAAAAAGCAUGAGUGUAUGUUGACAGAUGUUUUUUAUAUAAUAAAUAGCAACUACCAAGCUAUGUUUAGCAAGUUAUUAGUGCAUUUAUUUCAAUUGGCUAACUUUUUUAGUUUUUCCAGCAUUUUUUAAACAAACCAUAGGUUAUGAAUGAUAACUGGGUAUAUCUAAUUAAACCAAUCUGUCAUGUACUCAUGCAAAUAAGACUAAGU